rfam:Brachypodium distachyon strain Bd21 chromosome 5, whole genome shotgun sequence.
GAAUUAUCAUGAGUUCCUUGCAAGCACUUCAUGAGGCACUAUCCCAAGGGCUACUAUGAAGUGUUUGGGGGAACUCUUGAUAUCAC